rnacentral:rRNA from 1 species
GACGAACGCUGGCGGCAUGCCUAACACAUGCAAGUCGAACGAAACGUCCCGGCCUUGUUGCGCACGUCGGCUUAACGCGUGGGGAGCUGCCCUUAGGUUCGCUGUAACUCACCGAGGGGGGUGCUAAUGCCAGUGAAUGUCUUCGGACCAAAGAUGUCUCGCAGUUGGAUGGGCCCGCGUUGGUUUAGCUAGUUGGUAGGGUAAAAGCCUACCAAGGCCACGAUCCAUAGCUGGUCUGAGAGGAUGAUCAGCCACACUGGGACUGAGACACGGACCAGACUCCUAGGGGAGGCAGCAGUGGGGAAUAUUGGACACUGGGCGAAAGCCUGAUCAAGCAAUGCCGCGUGAGUGAUGAAGGCCUUAGGGUUGUAAAGCUCUUUUACCCGGGAUGAUAAUGACAGUACCGGGAGAAUAAGCUCCGGCUAACUCCGUG